ACACCUGUUCCCAUGCCGAACACAGAAGUUAAGCUUCAGCACGCCAAAAGUAGUUGGGGGAUCGCCCCCUGCGAGGAUAGGACGUUGCCACGC
rnacentral:rRNA from 1 species